rnacentral:tRNA from 1 species
AAAGGCUUAGUUAAAUAAUAAUGAUAACUUGUCGAGUUAUAGUCACCCAAAAGGUAGCCUUUA